rnacentral:rRNA from 1 species
UGGGGAAUUUUGCGCAAUGGGCGAAAGCCUGACGCAGCGACGCCGCGUGGGGGAAGAAGGCCUUAGGGUUGUAAACCUCUUUCAGGUGGGACGAAGCCACUCGGGUGAAUAGCCCAGAGGGUGACGGUACCGCCAGAAGAAGCCCCGGCUAACUACGUGCCAGCAGCCGCGGUAAUACGUAGGGGGCAAGCGUUGUCCGGAUUUAUUGGGCGUAAAGAGCGUGUAGGCGGCCAGGUAGGUGGGUUGUGAAAACUGGAGGCUCAACCUUCAGACGUCGACCCAAACCCCCUGGCUAGAGUCCGGAAGAGGAGAGUGGAAUUCCUGGUGUAGCGGUGAAAUGCGCAGAUAUCAGGAAGAACACCCGUGGCGAAGGCGGCUCUCUGGGACGGUACUGACGCUGAGACGCGAAAGCGUGGGGAGCGAACAGG